ensembl:lncRNA
AUGGAACAAGAAUGGAACUUUUUUGUAAAUCCAAAUGGAAAACUCCUGAUAGGCAUCAGUCUUCAAGAUAAUUGUGAGAAGACACUGCAUGUUCUCAGAGUGAACAAGCUAAAGGAUCUUCUUAGCUGUUGAAGGUCUGUGAAACUGAAGUUUGUUAAAACAGCUGUAGAUUCUGAUGUCUGUUUCCACGAGUCCUGCAGAGUAUGCGACACACAGACGAUAACUGCCACCACACCAUGAGAAGUGUCUCUCUCUCUCACACACACACACACACACACACACACUUGAGUAAAUAAAAACUCACAAGAAGUUCACGAUGUUUUAAAAAAAAAAUAAUUUUAAUGUCAAAAUAGUUUCUCCCCCACUUGUCACGGGUCUGUAAGGGCACUUGUCGGGGGUCACCAAGACCACUUGUUGCGGGUCUGUAAGGGCACUUGUCGGGGUCACCAAGACCACUUGUUGCGGGUCUGUAAGGGCACUUGUCGGGGUCACCAAGACUACUUGUUGCGGGUCUGUAAGGGCACUUGUCGGGGUUCACCAAAACCACUUGUUGCGGGUCUGUAAGAGCCCUUGUCGGGGUCACCUAAACCACUUGUUGCGGGUCUGUAAGAGCACUUGUCAGAGGUCAACAAGACUCCUUGUCGGGGGUCACCAAGACCACUUGUUGCGGGUCUGUAAGGGCACUUGUCAGAGUUCACCAAGACUCCUUGUCGGGGGUUACCAAGACCACUUGUCGGGGUCUGUAAGGACACUUGUCGGGGGUCACCAAGACCACUUGUUGCGAGUCUGUAAGAGCACUUGUCGGCGUCACCAAGACCACUUGUCGUGGGUCUGUAAGGGCACUUGUCGGGGUUUGUAAGGGAACUUGUCAGAGGUCGCCAAGACCCUUUGUUGGGGUCUGAAGGAGCACUUGUCAGAGGUCACCAAGGCCCCUUGUCGCGGGUCUGUAAGGGCACUUGUUGGAGGUCACCAAGACCCCUUGUCGGGGUCUGUAAGGGCACUUGUCAGAGGUCACUAGACCCAAUUGUCGGGGUCUGUAAGGGCACAUGUCAGAGGUCACCAAGACCCCUUGUCACGGGUAUGUAAGGGCACUUGUCAGAGGUCACCAAGACCCCUUGUCGGGGUCUGUAAGGGCACACGUCAGAGGUCACCAAGGCCCCUUGUCGCGGGUCUGUAAGGGCACUUGUUGGAGGUCACCAAGACCUUGAUUCUUGAAAAAGACAAAGCUGACGAGUUUCCUGUGGUGGUUGAAUCAGGUGUAGAUCUGUUAAGUAAUGACAUACCUUUUCCUCUGUGGAUUUAAGAAGACUUACUGUAAAAAAAAAAAAAAACAUAGGUUUCUAGAAAAUUCUACGAGAUGCACUGAUCCCACUCCAGUCUGCUUUCUCCCUGCAGAUGUCCGUCCAAAAUUAGCAACGACACUAAAGUGUUGACAAUAUAUAGGCUUCGUCUCCACCCACUUGUGCACUUUUGUCUCCGCCCACAAGCUGUACUCACCAGAACAGUACAACAUCCAUCAUUACAAACCUGAUGGAGGGUGUUAGAAAGCAAGUGUUCAGGCAUUCAAGGCAUUGUGACAGUGAUAAAGUUAUCGGCACACAUCGGCACACAUUUGUUGGUUCAGUCUGCCUGCCUAAAAUUAUACAUUCAUUUGAUCAAGACAAAAAUGUAAAUUCUCUCAUCAUUUACUCACCAUCAUGUCAUUACAAAAUCUCCAACUUUUCGGUGCAAAACAAAAGUCCUGUGUACUUUCACUUCCCUACUACAUUCAUACCAAUAAAAUUGAAUCACUAUAUAUCCCAGUAAAACAGUGUUAAAUAUCACAGAGCAUUAGCAAAACUCUCAUUAAACACAGACUGCUGUUCAAACAUGUAAUGAGCUGAGGCACAGGAUGACAUCAGCUGCCAUCAAAAGGGGCUAUACAAUCCAACAUGGUGUCAAACUUGCCCAUCUGAGAAUAUGCGAGAAAGUUAAACAACAUCCUGUCAACUGAAAUCAUAUGAAAACAUGCAGUUGAUUCAAUCAAGCUUCAAAU